rnacentral:rRNA from 1 species
CGGGGGGGGCAAGCGUUGUUCGGAAUUACUGGGCGUAAAGGGCUCGUAGGCGGCCAACUAAGUCAAACGUGAAAUCCCUCGGCUUAACCGGGGAACUGCGCUUGAUACCGGAUGGCUUGAGAUUGGGAGAGGGAUGCGGAAUUCCAGGUGUAGCGGUGAAAUGCGUAGAUAUCUGGAGGAACACCGGUGGCGAAGGCGGCAUCCUGGACCAACACUGACGCUGAGUGAGCGAAAGCCAGGGGAGCAAACGGGAUUAGAUACCCCGGUAGUCCUGGCCCUAAACGAUGAAUGCUUGGUGUGGCGGGUAUCGAUCCCUGCCGUGCCGAAGCUAACGCAUUAAGCAUUCCGCCUGGGGAGUACGGUCGCAAAGCUG